UUAAGCGACUAAGCGUACACGGUGGAUGCCCUGGCAGUCAGAGGCGAUGAAGGACGUGCUAAUCUGCGAUAAGCGUCGGUGAGGUGAUAUGAACCGUUAUAACCGGCGAUUUCCGAAUGGGGAAACCCAGUGUGUUUCGACACACUAUCAUUAACUGAAUCCAUAGGUUAAUGAGGCGAACCGGGGGAACUGAAACAUCUAAGUACCCCGAGGAAAAGAAAUCAACCGAGAUUCCCCCAGUAGCGGCGAGCGAACGGGGAGGAGCCCAGAGCCUGAAUCAGUGUGUGUGUUAGUGGAAGCGUCUGGAAAGGCGCGCGAUACAGGGUGACAGCCCCGUACACAAAAAUGCACAUACUGUGAGCUCGAUGAGUAGGGCGGGACACGUGGUAUCCUGUCUGAAUAUGGGGGGACCAUCCUCCAAGGCUAAAUACUCCUGACUGACCGAUAGUGAACCAGUACCGUGAGGGAAAGGCGAAAAGAACCCCGGCGAGGGGAGUGAAAAAGAACCUGAAACCGUGUACGUACAAGCAGUGGGAGCCUCUUAAUGGGGUGACUGCGUACCUUUUGUAUAAUGGGUCAGCGACUUAUAUUCUGUAGCAAGGUUAACCGAAUAGGGGAGCCGAAGGGAAACCGAGUCUUAACUGGGCGUUAAGUUGCAGGGUAUAGACCCGAAACCCGGUGAUCUAGCCAUGGGCAGGUUGAAGGUUGGGUAACACUAACUGGAGGACCGAACCGACUAAUGUUGAAAAAUUAGCGGAUGACUUGUGGCUGGGGGAAAGGCCAAUCAAACCGGGAGAUAGCUGGUUCUCCCCGAAAGCUAUUUAGGUAGCGCCUCGUGAAUUCAUCUCCGGGGUAGAGCACUGUUUCGGCAAGGGGUCAUCCCGACUUACCAACCCGAUGCAAACUGCGAAUACCGGAGAAUGUUAUCACGGGAGACACACGGCGGGUGCUAACGUCCGUCGUGAAGAGGAAACAACCCAGACCGCCAGCUAAGGUCCCAAAGUCAUGGUUAAGUGGGAAACGAUGUGGGAAGGCCCAGACAGCCAGGAUGUUGGCUUAGAAGCAGCCAUCAUUUAAAGAAAGCGUAAUAGCUCACUGGUCGAGUCGGCCUGCGCGGAAGAUGUAACGGGGCUAAACCAUGCACCGAAGCUGCGGCAGCGACACUAUGUGUUGUUGGGUAGGGGAGCGUUCUGUAAGCCUGUGAAGGUGGCCUGUGAGGGUUGCUGGAGGUAUCAGAAGUGCGAAUGCUGACAUAAGUAACGAUAAAGCGGGUGAAAAGCCCGCUCGCCGGAAGACCAAGGGUUCCUGUCCAACGUUAAUCGGGGCAGGGUGAGUCGACCCCUAAGGCGAGGCCGAAAGGCGUAGUCGAUGGGAAACAGGUUAAUAUUCCUGUACUUGGUGUUACUGCGAAGGGGGGACGGAGAAGGCUAUGUUGGCCGGGCGACGGUUGUCCCGGUUUAAGCGUGUAGGCUGGUUUUCCAGGCAAAUCCGGAAAAUCAAGGCUGAGGCGUGAUGACGAGGCACUACGGUGCUGAAGCGACAAAUGCCCUGCUUCCGUGAAAGCCUCUAAGCAUCAGGUAACAUCAAAUCGUACCCCAAACCGACACAGGUGGUCAGGUAGAGAAUACCAAGGCGCUUGAGAGAACUCGGGUGAAGGAACUAGGCAAAAUGGUGCCGUAACUUCGGGAGAAGGCACGCUGAUAUGUAGGUGAAGCGACUUGCUCGUGGAGCUGAAAUCAGUCGAAGAUACCAGCUGGCUGCAACUGUUUAUUAAAAACACAGCACUGUGCAAACACGAAAGUGGACGUAUACGGUGUGACGCCUGCCCGGUGCCGGAAGGUUAAUUGAUGGGGUUAGCGGUAACGCGAAGCUCUUGAUCGAAGCCCCGGUAAACGGCGGCCGUAACUAUAACGGUCCUAAGGUAGCGAAAUUCCUUGUCGGGUAAGUUCCGACCUGCACGAAUGGCGUAAUGAUGGCCAGGCUGUCUCCACCCGAGACUCAGUGAAAUUGAACUCGCUGUGAAGAUGCAGUGUACCCGCGGCAAGACGGAAAGACCCCGUGAACCUUUACUAUAGCUUGACACUGAACAUUGAGCCUUGAUGUGUAGGAUAGGUGGGAGGCUUUGAAGUGUGGACGCCAGUCUGCAUGGAGCCGACCUUGAAAUACCACCCUUUAAUGUUUGAUGUUCUAACGUGGGCCCCUUACCGGGGUUGCGGACAGUGUCUGGUGGGUAGUUUGACUGGGGCGGUCCUCCUAAAGAGUAACGGAGGAGCACGAAGGUUGGCUAAUCGGUCGGACAUCAGGAGGUUAGUGCAAUGGCAUAAGCCAGCUUGACUGCGAGCGUGACGGCGCGAGCAGGUGCGAAAGCAGGUCAUAGUGAUCCGGUGGUUCUGAAUGGAAGGGCCAUCGCUCAACGGAUAAAAGGUACCCGGGGAUAACAGGCUGAUACCGCCCAAGAGUUCAUAUCGACGGCGGUGUUUGGCACCUCGAUGUCGGCUCAUCACAUCCCGGGGCUGAAGUAGGUCCCAAGGGUAUGGCUGUUCGCCAUUUAAAGUGGUACGCGAGCUGGGUUUAGAACGUCGUGAGACAGUUCGGUCCCUAUCUGCCGUGGGCGCUGGAGAACUGAGGGGGGCUGCUCCUAGUACGAGAGGACCGGAGUGGACGCAUCACUGGUGUUCGGGUUGUCAUGCCAAUGGCACUGCCCGGUAGCUAAAUGCGGAAGAGAUAAGUGCUGAAAGCAUCUAAGCACGAAACUUGCCCCGAGAUGAGUUCUCCCUGACUCCUUGAGAGUCCUGAAGGAACGUUGAAGACGACGACGUUGAUAGGCCGGGUGUGUAAGCGCAGCGAUGCGUUGAGCUAACCGGUACUAAUGAACCGUGAGGCUUAACCU
rnacentral:rRNA from 1 species